CCCGAACAAAACCAUCAACAAUUAGAUGCUCGUAUACAACUUCAUGAUAAUGCCAGUUUAUGUUCACACACUUCUUACACGGGCAAAGAAUCAUGUUCUCUUGGCUUGCAUAUUGAAAUGCAAAAUUUAGAAAAGUCUGUACUCCAUUUCGAUAACCGUCGCUUACCCUUGACAAAUUCAUCCAAGAGCGAUCCAUUUC
rnacentral:lncRNA from 1 species